rnacentral:lncRNA from 1 species
AAUUAACACCUAAACAACAACAUUAUAAUGAGAAGCGAAAUGAUACACAAAAACCCAAACCACCAAAACGCGACAAUGNCAGCAAAUGACGAAACAAACACGAAGCCCAACCAAACCAAAAACGACAUACCUACACUACGGGCUUACCUUCUCAAUGAUCGCCUUUCCCUGGUUGAGAUAAAACGAAAGGAACGCAGCAAUGGAGAUGGUGGCAAACGAAGAACAAAGAUGUUGGAGAGAAGGCGAAACUGUUCUCAGCAAAAGUGAAACGAAAAUGAAACCGCCAAUUCCAAAAUGAUAUUCAAAGUUUCAUUAUUCCACUUCUACCCCCGUCACUUUAUUAAAAAGCUGUUUCAAUAUAUAAAAAAUCACUCAAUAGAAAUUUGACACCUGGACGGUGUCAAAUUUGUGUCAAAUGUAGGUGUCAAACAAACAUUUUCCUU